AGCAAAGUUACUUCACAUUAUUCAGGUACAAAUAUCCCUUUUUCCUCAGUUGAGAAGCUUACCUCUAUGUCUGUGAAGAAUUAUAUGUUUCUUCUGUUUCUUUUAUAAAGGCUUUGUUUAACCUUGACUGUAUGACACUUUCAGGCUUUUCUGACCUUCCUUACUCAUGUGUAUAAUGCUGUUACUUAUCGAUUGUGAACUCUGUGAAAGACAUAACCACAUCUUUAUAUUGUCAAAAGAGUGCGGUACAAUACCUUAAAUUCCAUUACCAAUUGAAAUCUAUUUGUCUAAAAGUUAGGAGGUAAUGCUUGUUUCGACGCAUUUAAAAAAGGAUUCUCUCAUGACCAUUCUUCUAGGUAUGUGGAAAGAGAAAUAACAGCUGUCAUACAACUGAACUUGCACGUGACAGUACAAACCUGUGGUCUAUACACUCCUUUGGCCCCAGGGACAGACAAGAAAGGUGAAAAAUGUGACCCACUGGAGCUUAGAAAAUGCGCAAAGUCUCUUCAAGAUCGAGUUUGGAGGUCUUGUACAUUUAACUUCUUCUAAUUGGGAUAUGUGCUUGGUUUUUUUUAUACAAGAAGUUGAUAAUCCUUCUGUAUAAGAUUAAAAAUGAAGUUAUCAAGUUACCUUUUGACCUUCUUGUAGGUUGGUACCGAAGAAAAGCUUGUCUUAACACAUUCAAUCUAUAGAUUCUGUAGCCUUUAAAAUAAUACCAGGAGGAUAAGUGGUUAUAGAAUUCUAUGAAAUGGAGUGUCAACUCUCCCACAGCGUAGCC
rnacentral:lncRNA from 1 species